AUACUGACCUGGCAGGGAGAUGCCGUGAUUGUGAAAGUGGUUUUCCCAGGGAGAGGCUUAUACAUUGCACUCCUCAUAUGCUGACCCUUGCGAUUUCCCCAAAUGUUGAUAACUCAACUGCAUAUUUUGUUAUAGUGGGGGACUAUGUUUACACUCUCCCCUG